UACGAAGGGUGCAAACGUUGCUCGGAAUUAUUGGGCGUAAAGCGCACGUAGGCGGCUUGGCAAGUCGGAUGUGAAAUCCCUCGGCUCAACCAAGGAAGUGCAUCCGAAACUGCUGAGCUUGAGUACGAAAGAGGAUCGCGGAAUUCCCGGUGUAGAGGUGAAAUUCGUAGAUAUCGGGAGGAACAUCAGUGGCGAAGGCGGCGAUCUGGGUCGAUACUGACGCUGAGGUGCGAAAGCGUGGGUAGCAAACAGG
rnacentral:rRNA from 1 species